rnacentral:rRNA from 1 species
UGUCCUACGGGAGGCAGCAGUGAGGAAUAUUGGUCAAUGGGAGAGAUCCUGAACCAGCCAAGCCGCGUGAGGGAAGACGGCCCUAUGGGUUGUAAACCUCUUUUGUCGGAGAACAAAACCCGGGACGUGUCCCGGACUGCGUGUAUCCGAAGAAAAAGCAUCGGCUAACUCCGUGCCAGCAGCCGCGGUAAUACGUAGGGGGCAAGCGUUAUCCGGAUUUACUGGGUGUAAAGGGAGCGUAGACGGCAAUACAAGUCGGAAGUGAAAUACCCGGGCUCAACCUGGGAACUGCUUUGGAAACUGUA